AUUCUAAUCUAAAUUAAGUUUUGUUAGAUUGGUUGAUAUUGAGAAUUUGAUUAGGAUGAAGUUGAAAGAGAAGAACAAAAUUGAAAAAAAAAAUUGGUGCAAAGUAUAAAAAGAAAAUUUUCACCUCAGGGAAAUAGAAUGGCAUGACUAAAGUUUUAUGGAGAAAGUCAUAAGGGUAAAUAAUAAUACUUGGAGUAACUUUAAAUUAUAGAUUUAAUUUUUGAAUUUUAAAUAAUGAUAGUGUGGAUUCAAUUCUCAAUUGGAAAUAACUGGAUAUUGGUAAAAGGUGGAAUUGGGAAGGAAGCCUUUGUAAAUUAAAAGAUGAUUUAUUAAAUUUUGGCUACUAAUAUCUUUAUAGGACGCGUAGAGGAAGAGGAUCCCGAUAGAAAUUAAAUAAAUAAUAUUUUGGAGAUUUGAAAUCACAACAGAUUGGUUAACUGACGCCGAUUUCAUCAACGACCUCAAAAAGGGCAACUAACUACAGUGGGUGGACAUUUUGAUUGGUAUUGUUGCUUUAAUGUAAAUACAUAAAUUGUAUGUCUUUUUGAUUUGAAAGAAAUAGCAGAUGCUCCACAUAGAUUGUUGAUAAAUUUUAUUUUUGGUCUGUAUAUUGGUUGUUGGCUGGAAGGAGCUACGCUCCUGAUUUAUACUGAUAUUUGUAAAAUUUUUAUUGUAGAAUUUUCAGGAGAUCCUAGUUACAGGGGAGGUUCUGCUGAAAUUUCUACAAAAACGUUGACACUUUCUUAUGACAAUGAAUUUAAAGAAGUUAUUUUAAUUUUUA